AUAAUAAGUGCAUUUUUCUUGCUGUCUAUGGAGCAGGCUUAUGUGUAGCAAUUAGAGUCAAGUAGAUUAAAGCUUACACAACUUGAACAAGACCUUCAAAGGGCUCGUUCUCAGGGACUAUUCAUGGAUUGUGGUGGUGUUGGAGGCAAUCUAAGCUCUGCUUGCAGAUGGGUUAAUUUUAGAGAAGACAUCAUCUCUAUAGGAGUUCUCUUAAUUGUUUUUGAAUCUUGCCCUGAUGCACUUGUAUAGGUGAAUUGAAUAUUUUUUUUUCAAUUUUUCUCUGAACUUUCUCGUUGUCGCUUUCAAUUGGUCAUGGCUAUGAUUAUGUGUCAUUCCUGUUCAG